rnacentral:rRNA from 1 species
AACGAACGCUGGCGGCAGGCCUAAAACAUGCAAGUCGAACGAACCUUCGGGUUAGUGGCGCACGGGUGCGUAACGCGUGGGAAUAUGCCCUUCACUGCGGAACAACGUCGGGAAACUGACGCUAAUACCGCAUAAUGACUCCGGUCCAAAGAUUUAUCGGUGAAGGAUUAGCCCGCGUCUGAUUAGGUAGUUGGUGAGGUAAUGGCGCACCAAGCCGACGAUCAGUAGCUGGUCUGAGAGGAUGAUCAGCCACACUGGGACUGAGACACGGCCCAGACUCCUACGGGAGGCAGCAGUUAGGAAUAUUGGACAAUGGGGGAAACCCUGAGCCAGCCAUGCCGCGUGUGUGAAGAAGGCCUUAGGGUUGUAAAGCACUUUCGUCUGUGAAGAUAAUGACAGUAGCAGAAGAAGAAGCUCCGGCUAAAUUCGUGCCAGCAGCCGCAGUAA